AAUGUUUCUUAAUGUUUAUUUUAUUUAUUUUGAGAGAGAGAGAGAGAGAGCAGGGCAGGGGCAGGGACAGAGGGAGAGUGUGUGGGCAGGGUAGGGGCAGGGAGGGAGAGAGAAUCCCAAGCAGGCUCUGCCCCAUCAGCACAGAGCCGGACGUGGGUGUGUGUGGGUGUCUUCAGAGCGUGACCCAGGCUCCUCGGGCAGGUGCCCAGGGCCCAGCCGCUCAGCAGACACGCGACAGGCCACAUGGGGCACCGUCCUUGGCGCACGGGCCCUGCCACGGCCCCGCCUCCCCUGUGCACACACCUGUGCGUCCUGCCAGCAGCCUGACUCACGCACGUGGCAGAUGCUCCACGGAUACGUGUGCCAAGAUCUCGUUUCAGGGUCAAUAGUGCCUCCCUCACCGCCCCCCCCCAGCCUCUUCCGGGGGCCCCACGUCAGUCCCAGCCACGAAGGCAGGUGAGGGAGACCCACAAGAGUGGCGCGCGUCCCCAGGUGGCCCCGCGCCGCGCAGCAGGCACAGGGCGGGCAGGGCCCGCUCCUGGAAGCAGACAGUCGGCCUCCUUCCCACGGGUGAGGCGUGGGCACACCUCCCGCGGUUACCGUUGGGGUCGUGCUCGCCUGGCCCCAAGAGCAGGAUCUGGCGCCCUGGGUACCGUGGACGGAACUCAGGGAACGACCCCCUCGGGGACCACUGGGCUUCUCGUCAACAUUGUAGCCGUGCCCAGGAGUGGGGGCCGUGUCCUGGGGCCAGCCCUCACCCAACCCCUCCGCCCACGGUGCCUCCAGAGCUCCCAGAAGAGGGGGGCUCCCCCAGAGGGGGUGCUGGCCAGGUGCCAUCAGCAGGACAGUGAAAGCCCCGGUCCCGAAGGCAGCUGGAGGAGCACAGGCCGGAAUUAAGGAGCCGACACCCCUACGGCACCGGGCCGGUGCCGGCAGAGUCGGCCGUGCUCACUAGAACGUCGGUGCUGUGGUCGUGAUGGCUACACACACCAGCCUCCCGGCCAGGGCGCGCCACACCCACACGUGCAGGCCGCAGUGUGCGGACGCAGGCUCGCGGGGCUGGGGGAGGUGCAGGGGGAAGGCUGGAAGGGCCACUGGCAGCCCAGGCCCGCCUUGCCGCCCGGGUCACCUGCCCCUGGGCUGGGUGCCCACGGUCACAGCCCACGUUCUACAAGAUGCGGCAACAGCUGAGGCCAGGUGGCCACAGCACCUUUGUGGUGACAACCACACUAAUCAGCAGGUGUCAGGUGUCGUCUGACGUGCUCCAGGCCUGCGGUCCCGCCCACGGAGAGCGGACAUUCCACUCGUUUUGGAAUCGGAAAGCAAACUUCCCGUCAAGCUCACAGUGUGCAGUCUGAGCCUUAGGCUGCGCUUCGAACAGAACUGAAGCAAGUGAUUCCGGGCCGGAAAGCUCUUUGGGGCGCCACCUUCUUAAGAAUCCUGGGCCCCCGAAGCAAACGUGACACCCCCACGAGCCACUCGCUAAACAGAGGCAGCACCUGUACCGCGGCAGACAAAUCCGUGCUGUACGAGCACCCCCACCCGGCUCCUGAGCCCCCCUGCGCCCUCUGAAACCUCCGCCGGAAUUAAGUCACGGAGCCCUCCCGUCUCCCCUCCACCGUUCCCAGGAGCACCAGCCACAUCAGCUACAAGGGUGACCACGCAAGGAUCCAUUUAAGUGAAGAUGGUCCGUGCCACCCGUGAGCUCCCUCGAGAAGCACAAAUGGCUUGCAAAGGCCUUGGUGCUGGGGAGGUUAUCACAGACCAGCGCGUUCCAGAAACUUCAAGAAAGGCUGUGGUCCAGGUGUCAUGAUGCCUGGAGGGGCCGUGUUCUCUGUGCGUCCCUCUUUUCCCCCCUCUUACAAGGACACCAGUCGGAUUGGGCCAGGGCCCACCUGCUGCGGCGCGACCUCAUCGUCACUAAUUGUAUCUGCCACCACCCUCUUUCCAACUAACGGCACAUGCGGAGGUCCUGGGGGUUCGGACGUGAACAAGGCUCUAUUCGGAGAAGGUUCACUAUUGGACCCCUAACCUACGCCCGAAGCAACCGCCAUCCCUCCUCUAAUUCUGCUUCUCGUGACCACGGACUGUCCUGGCCAGGACAAGAGCACCGGGGAACACAAGAAGAGCUGCCUCCCCAGGGUGUUGGCUUCGUCUCUCUUUUCAGGCCCAAAGUGGGAGCUGGCAACCGUAGGAGCAGGAACUGGGUGCGGUGGUUCCGUCUAGAAGAAUUGGCGGUAUUUUCUAGGAACAGAUCUAGCCUCUGGCCCUGCUGAGCUGGGAGAUGAUCUGGGAGAGCUCCUUCCCGCCCGGGAGGCGCCUCCAGGCCGCCCGCUGCGCUAGUGACGGGCGAUCUCGCUCGGCCGGCCGCUCGGAAAGGUAGUGACGGUACUGGUGCCAUCAGACGGCAGCACGGGCUGCCACGUCACCUUGAGUCGGGUUCCGUUCUCUUUUACCUUCUCCUUGUCUCCACUGCUGGUCUGGCGGUUAUCACUGCUUGUGAAUCAGUCUCUCUCCUGUCGCCCCUUCGCUUCCGUUCUCCCAUCUGCCUCGGCACGGACAGGGCCCGGGGGGGGGGGGUGCGAAUCAGUGAGCUCACUGUGUGCAGACGGCCCAGAUGCUCUCAGGUAAGUACAAUGAAUCACCGAGAUCGUCUUGGUCCAUCUCUUAAUUCUUGGCCGUGAUUGGACGGCUGAGUUUAUCAGUGACUUUGCGGCAGAACAGAAAUCGUUAUACUUCGCAGAACAGGAGGCGCCAGCGGAAGAGAGGACAGAAUGAUCUGUAGGAGGAUUUCGAGCACCUCCCACUCACAUGCCACAUCAGACUGGGGAUUCGUGACCCCAAUCACAUUAUCUCCCGAGCGCCCACUGUUUGCUCCCUGUGGCCCAGCAAAAGGGGACACACGCCCCGAGCCCAGAGCGCACACCCUCACGGGGAGAGCCGGCAGGAAAUAAACUGCCACGUGCACUUUGGGUUAUGCCGGUGCGAGACAAACUGCAGACUCCCAGACGGAAGGGAACUGGGGGAACAUACUUGGGUUUGCUGUGGAAAGUGGAAUUUUCCCUCGGACUGUAAACGAAUUCGCCGCCUUAGUUAAUGCACGCGAAUCCCGCAGGCUGUUCUGUUAGAGGACCUGGAACCCCGCCGGCCCUGACCCGCCCGCAUCCGCCCCAGGAAAGGUGGGGCUCACUGCCGCUGGUGCCGCAGUGCCAGGGCAAAGGGGAGGAACGGAGGCCACCGGGGCCGCGGGGACAGCUGGGGGCAGACGGGUGCGGGCGGAGCUCGGGGCCAACUUCAGGAUGCAUUGUUGUGAAGAUACUCGUGACGCAUCCCAGAACUCAGUGAGAGGCAGCUCACGAGGCUGGAGAUCCCGGACCUCACUGAGGACACCGAUCGCACGACCUGUGCAAAGCUGCACUGUCUCACUCACUGUUAAGUGUGUGUGCUCAGUACUGAACUAGCACAGUGUUCCCAAUCAAAUUGUGCCAUGGCAAACGGAAACACGAACUCAAAAUCAUAUCCGCACCCCCACGUUCACUGCAGCAUCAUUUACGAUAACCGAGGUGUGGGAACAGCCUCGGUGUCCACUGAUGGGUGAGUGGAUAAAGAAGUGGGGUGUGUGCGCGUGUGUGCGUGUGUGCAUGUGCGUACAAUGGGAUGUCACUCAGCCAUAAAAAAGAAAAAAAUCUUGCCAUCUGCAACAACAUGGACGGACCCCGAGGGCAUUACGCUAAGGGAAGGAAGUCAGACGGGAGAAGAGACCACGUGAUCUCACUUACAUGUGGAGUCUGAAAGAGACAAACCAAAACAAAACCAAGAGACACAGACACGGGGAGCAGGUCGGUGAUUGCCAGGUGGGGGUGAGGGGUGGGACAGACGGGUGACGGGGCGAAGGAGGGCGAGAGGUACAGACUUCCAGCUAUAGAAUAAAUAAGUCAGGAGGAUAGGAUGUACGGUCGUGACGACUCCAGUUAGGAACCCCGGGCGGAUAGAAGUUGCUAGGGGCCGAAGUCUUGAAAGUCCUCCUCAGGAGACAAAAACGAACAGUGUGGAGACGGACGGUGACUAGCCUUUGUGGUCCUCAGUGCACAGACAUCGAUUCCUUACGUUAUACAUCAAUUCUACCGCGAUAACAGCAAUAAAAUUAAUGUCAUCGAGAAAUUAUGCAGAAACCAGAUUUUGCUGCACACGGUGCCCUGACAAGUCACCGAGGGAGUAGGAAAUGAUUUUACGAAAAAGCAAACA